ensembl:lncRNA
AAAAAGCUCACUUUUAAACCAUUUUGCAACGUCUUUUCAACCAAAAAAAGGCUCCCUGGGGACUUAUAAGAAGUCCUCCCUUCUUGGUGAAAGUAUAGCAACUACUCCGAUACAACAUGUCAGAAAGAUUACACAUGCGUUGGGUUUAUAUGAAUGACACUCACCACCCAACAAGGCGGAGACGACCGUCGCGUAGAAGAGCAACAUGUCCUGCAGAAUGAGGACAGGUUGUGCGUGUGAACGUGACCUCACGUACACUUCUCAAAAUUACUUAAAAAAGGGUCUCACUGUACAAUAAUUUCACGCCGUGUUUCGGUCGAGUUUGUUUUCUCGAGGAAGAACUGCAAUGGGCGGUAGUGAUGUGUCGUUCGUGAACGAUCCGUUCAUUUUGAACGAAUCCUUACAAGGAUUCGAGAGUUACGAGUCCUCUCAAAAAAAGAUUAGUUCAUUUUCUCGUGUCCACGCAUCGGGACUUGCAUAGGCUCAGCCAAGGAAACAGAAAUGAUUCGUUGAAUGCACGUCACGUGGUAAAUGAUCCUUCUGCCAACCAAGUGGUACCAGUGCUGAGCCGAUGCAGGUCACGUGAAAAAUGAACGAUGAACGAAUCAUUGACCCGAAGACUCGGUUGGCAGAUGAACGAAACAUUGACCCGAAGACACGGUCGGGAGGUGAACGAUUCGUUCAUCUGCCGGAUACAGAUCUUUAGAUCGUUUUUCACGUGACCUGCAUUGGUUUAGUAGAGGAAACAGUUACAUUAUUCCCUUUCACGUGACCGCUGUUUUUAGUUUUAAACGUGAAUUAUAUUCGUUCACAAGUCAUAAUGACUGGUUUUGUUAUUUUCACUUUACAUUUACACUUACAGUUUAGUGCAGUGUAAUAGUUAUGACGUGAUAAUUGAAUGCUAGUGUGAAAAUAAAUGAUCACUUCAAAUCAUCCAGACUGUAAUGAUACAUUAUUUUAAUGCAGGAAUUUAUCUUACCACUGACUCGAAAAAAGAUUUGUUCAUUUUUACUAAACGAGAUUCAAAGAUCCGAAUCGGUAAAAUGAUCCGAACUUCCCAUCACUACUAAUGGGCGGGGCUUCCGCGGUCCAGUUUAACAUAAAACCACUAAAACCAGUUGUGACGCUGUUUGCACACAAACCGACGCGUUGAUACGCUGAAUACAUGCGGAUUAAUGUGUCUAUGAUAACACAUAUUCUAUUGCAUUGUUUUAACUGAAGUAAUGUUUUGAUCUAAAAUCAUCUAUACAUUGAGAAUGAAUGUAGAAAUGACAGUACUUUCUUAAUAAAAUACUUUUUUUUGGCAAAUGACCGAGAAGGUGUUCGGUGUCCAGCCCACCGGGAGGAUCCCACGUAGUAACCGGGCACUCUCUUGCGCCAAUGGCGGACUUACACCCAGGAUCCGACCAACGUAACGGAGGCAUGUGACGCAUCUUGCGUAGGAGCUGCACAGAAUACAGGGCACCAUUUCCUUAAAUAAACCAAGCGAACCCACUGCACAUGCGCGCUCUGCAGAGGACGUUGUUAUCUCCUCGUCCCAUAAUCGCUCGCAGGUACCCAGCGGUGGAUGUACUGUAUUCUCCACGCAUCCAGGUGAAGAUGUCCUACAGUGCCAUGCUCGCCUUCCUUUCGGCCCUUCCUAUCUCUCUGGCAUGGGAUGCAUCAAGUAUAAGAGAAGAAGCCCAGAUUGUGUGUGCUGGGAGGGAAUUCCGUCUGCCGGUUUACUCCUCAUCCAGAAUGGUGACUUUUACACCAAACCCCGAGGGGCCACGCCGCGUCCUGCUGGACAAAACCAUUGUGGGUUGAAGUGUGUUGAUACUUGUUGGUAUGUGUGUCGUCACCAGUUUCACACAUGUAUUAAUUGUACAUCUGCAGGUGAAGGACCCGCGGUUUGAGUGGACCAGAGACAGGAUGCUGGUUCUGAGAGAAGUGACUCACGAUGAUGAGGGGCUUUACGCCAUCAAACUGGUCUCUGGAUUCACCUACGAGGCCGUUCGUUUGAUUGUUUCAGAAUGCAUCAAGUCCUACCACGGAAAAUACGGCGAUAAGUUUGAGCACAGCAUCCCCGAAAACGGCUCCCUGCUGGAGUUCUCUCCCCGGGGCGCUCCGCCGGAGGCCAUGCCGGUCCUUCUGUGGAACCGGACCGACCCCGUGACCAGCGAUGCCGGCCGUGGCCGGCUGCGCGCGGGGAAAGUGUGGGUGGCUGAGAGGGUGACGCAAGCGGACCAGGGCAACUACACUGUGAGGGACAGCAAGGGGAGGGUCCUGCACCGCAGCUCCCUCAGCGUCCGCGAGCACUCCUUCAAUGUCACCCGCUUUACCAAGGAGUCUCUAAACCUGCCCCUCUUUCUUCCUGUCCCGCAUGUCCACCUCAUUUUUACCCCUACCCGAUUCCUUGACGAAUCCUCCCCGGGCCAUUUUGACCCCAAACCCCCCCGUGGUCCAGUGCAGCUGAUCCGUGAGGGCCACAUACUGGACCACGACAUGCGCUACAGGGGCCUCAUCUCGCUGGUCAGGAAUGGCAGCAUCAACGAGGUCGCCAUAGUGAGGCUGAAUUCAAGGCACGAUGGGUUUUAUGAAAUCAGGGACGUGGUCGGCAACCUGGUAUCCUCCACCUGGCUGCAGGUGAUUGAAAAGGGAGGCAGAUGGCGAGCGCUUCUCAGAUCCAUCACCGUCCCUUCUGGCUUGUUCGUGUCGCUGGUCGGUUUCAUCCUGUUCAUGAGGCGAUAUCCAAACUGCAGCCUGUCGCAGCUCGUCGCUGUCCUCAGAAUAAACCGCACGCCUCCAGCCAACCCUCCGAGGGUCAACAUCCAGGAUUACAGCCAGCCCAGCCCUCGGCCCUCCGGCUACCACGCGCACGCUGACCCGCCUGUAACGCCAAGAAAAUGCACCCCCAGCGCCAGUCCUACUCACGCCGGUUACUGUCCAGUUAUGGCAGGAACCGCCGAGAAUCAGGAAGCAAACACGUCGGCAGCAACGAGCUCCCCUCGUCCUCGUCGUCAUUCAACCUCGGAGCCGGACUCAUCUCACUACAAUGAGGAAGAGAGAAGGAUUUCCUUUUUGAUGCCCGGGGCUUCGGACUGUCUCCACUCCUCUGAAGACUGUGUUAAAUUCCAGAUAAAAAAAGAUGGGGAUAAUGGCAGGAGGAGCACGUCACGAGGUUACUUUUCCACUCUGCCACUAGACAGGGACACCUCUGAAUCCUGCAGUGUUUACACUUCAGAAAAACUCAACUUCUUAUAAAACACAGAACUGGAGCUGAAGGAAGAACAACAAGAAGAAAGAAGAAGAACAACAAGAUAUGGAGCAACUACAGUAUUGGAUUAUGAAAAUAAAUAACCCACCUGUGCCUUUAUGCAUAUUAGCCUAAUUUGAAUGGUAUGAUAAUUGCAUGCCCUUUUUUCAUGUUUGAGCAUUAGCUGAUCUGUCUCCUAUUUCACAUUUCUUGACGCUGAGGAUGGUGCUCCUGAAAUAUCCUGCUGUUACCUACCUCCAGACCCUCAGGACCAGUAUGAUCUGCACUGUAUUUGCUGAGUGUUGGUACGAGUGUGCUUGUGAUGUGAUGUCUAGGGCUACAUAGAAAUAAGAGUUGCGAUUAUUCAAAGGUUUACAAAAGGGAAUUCUAAAGUACUGUACAGUGAUAGAGAGAUUGUUUAUGUCUUUUUCCAUCCACCAUUUCCAAAUGCAACAACAAUUAAUAUCAUGUUCAAUGUCUGCUCAGCGGUUCAGUGGUUUUUCUGUGAUAGUGUAUUAACCCUCAAGGUAAUUGUAGUAAUAGCUUUGUGAAUUGUAACAUGAUCUACCACAUAUUCCAAUAGCCUGUUGUUCUAUAAACUCUGUGUAUGGGAUAAUAUCAUCACCAAAGCUUUCUAUUGACAAGAGAUUAGAGACUUUGGCUUGUGACAUUUUUGAACAUUCAAAACGUUACCUCUUAGACAAUAAAUUCAUGUUUAACACACA